rnacentral:lncRNA from 1 species
UUCCAGAUUCCCAGAAGGUGUGUGAGUGUGUGUCAGAGCGGGGCUGGGGGUCAUCCACAGAUCAGAGCACAGGCAUAGAGAGAGAGCUUCUGAGGAUAGGAUCACCUGUUGGUCACAUCCUACACCCUGAAGCCUGAGGACCUGUCACUUGGACCCACCGCCAGCCAAAGCAGCAUCAGUCACUGGCCAGAGGAGCACAGAAGUCACAGGAGUGCUCACAAUGUCCGGUGUCCUGGAGAAGCUCUGGAAUAAAUACACCUGGGCCUUUGAAAACGGAGACCUGAGGACAGAGUCCCGGUUCCUGAUACACUUGCCACUCCCUGUCCCCCUUCUUUUUAUCUUCUAUCUUCUGGUGGUGGCAAGUCCUCACUUCAUGUCUGGAUGGGAGCCCCUGAAGUUGGCAAGACCCCUUGUCGUCUAUAACCCAAGCCUGGUGGCUCUCUCAGGGACCUAUCCUGUGAGCCUUCUUCAUCAAGAUGCUGAAGUUUGGUCCAUGCCU